CCUACGGGUGACAGCAGUGAGGAAUAUUGGUCAAUGGCCGCAGGGCUGAACCAGCCAAGUCGCGUGAGGGAUGACGGUCCUAUGGAUUGUAAACCUCUUUUGUCAGGGAGCAAAGGGCGCCACGUGUGGCGCUUUGCGAGUACCUGAAGAAAAAGCAUAGGCUAACUCCGUGCCAGCAGCCGCGGUAAUACGGAGGAUGCGAGCGUUAUCCGGAUUUAUUGGGUUUAAAGGGUGCGCAGGCGGAAUGUCAAGUCAGCGGUAAAAUUUCGGGGCUCAACCCCGUCGUGCCGUUGAAACUGGCGUUCUUGAGUGAGCUAGAAGUAUGCGGAAUGCGUGGUGUAGCGGUGAAAUGCAUAGAUAUCACGCAGAACUCCGAUGGCGAAGGCAGCAUACCGGCGCUCAACUGACGCUCAUGCACGAAAGCGUGGGUAUCGAACAGGAUUAGAUACCCCUGUAGUC
rnacentral:rRNA from 1 species